rnacentral:rRNA from 1 species
AUUGAACGCUGGCGGCAUGCCUUACACAUGCAAGUCGAACGGCAGCAUGGAGAGCUUGCUCUCUGAUGGCGAGUGGCGAACGGGUGAGUAAUGCAUCGGAACGUACCGUGUAAUGGGGGAUAACGUAGCGAAAGUUACGCUAAUACCGCAUACGACCUGAGGGUGAAAGCAGGGGAUCGCAAGACCUUGCGUUAUACGAGCGGCCGAUGUCAGAUUAGCUAGUUGGUGAGGUAAAGGCUCACCAAGGCGACGAUCUGUAGCGGGUCUGAGAGGAUGAUCCGCCACACUGGGACGGAGACACGGCCCAGACUCCUACGGGAGGCAGCAGUGGGGAAUUUUGGACAAUGGGGGCAACCCUGAUACAGCCAUGCCGCGUGAGUGAAGAAGGCCUUCGGGUUGUAAAGCUCUUUCGGCCGGGAAGAAAUCGCACAGGCUAAUACUCUGUGUGGAUGACGGUACCGGCAUAAGAAGCACCGGCUAACUACGUGCCAGCCGCCGCGGUAA